GUGAUGUAGCUCAGGUGGUUAGAGCGCAGGAUUCAUAAUCCUGAGGUCGAGAGUUCAAGUCUCUCCAUCACC
rnacentral:tRNA from 1 species